AGUCGAGCGAGUCUGCCUUGAAGAUCGGAGUGCUUGCACUCUGUGAAACAAGAUACAGGCUAGCGGCGGACGGGUGAGUAACACGUGGGUAACCUGCCCAAGAGAUCGGGAUAACACCUGGAAACAGAUGCUAAUACCGGAUAACAACAGAUGAUGCCUAUCAACUGUUUAAAAGAUGGUUCUGCUAUCACUCUUGGAUGGACCUGCGGUGCAUUAGCUAGUUGGUAGGGUAACGGCCUACCAAGGCGAUGAUGCAUAGCCGAGUUGAGAGACUGAUCGGCCACAUUGGGACUGAGACACGGCCCAAACUCCUACGGGAGGCAGCAGUAGGGAAUCUUCCACAAUGGACGCAAGUCUGAUGGAGCAACGCCGCGUGAGUGAAGAAGGGUUUCGGCUCGUAAAGCUCUGUUGUUGGUGAAGAAGGACAGGGGUAGUAACUGACCUUUGUUUGACGGUAAUCAAUUAGAAAGUCACGGCUAACUACGUGCCAGCAGCCGCGGUAAUACGUAGGUGGCAAGCGUUGUCCGGAUUUAUUGGGCGUAAAGCGAGUGCAGGCGGCUCGAUAAGUCUGAUGUGAAAGCCUUCGGCUCAACCGGAGAAUUGCAUCAGAAACUGUCGAGCUUGAGUACAGAAGAGGAGAGUGGAACUCCAUGUGUAGCGGUGAAAUGCGUAGAUAUAUGGAAGAACACCGGUGGCGAAGGCGGCUCUCUGGUCUGUUACUGACGCUGAGGCUCGAAAGCAUGGGUAGCGAACAGGAUUAGAUACCCUGGUAGUCCAUGCCGUAAACGAUGAGUGCUAAGUGUUGGGAGGUUUCCGCCUCUCAGUGCUGCAGCUAACGCAU
rnacentral:rRNA from 1 species